UUUCCGUAGGUGAACCUGCGGAAGGAUCAUUAAAGAGUAAGGGUCCUCUAGGCCCGACCUCCCAACCCUUUGUUUACCAAACCAAUGUUGCUUCGGCGGGCCCGUCUUAGGACCGCCGGAGGACCGUCGAAACGUCCUCUGGCCCGCGCCCGUCGAUGGCCCUUAUUAUUAAACUCUGAACCAAACGUGUCCUGUCUGGGUGAUUAUUAUCAAAAUUAAAGCAAAAACUUUCAACAACGGAUCUCUUGGUUCUG
rnacentral:misc_RNA from 1 species